UACGUAGGGGGCAAGCGUUGUCCGGAAUCAUUGGGCGUAAAGAGCGCGUAGGCGGUCCGGUAAGUCCGCUCUGAAAGUCCGGGGCUCAACCCCGGGAGGCGGGCGGAUACUGUCGGGCUAGAGUCCGGAAGAGGCGAGUGGAAUUCCUGGUGUAGCGGUGAAAUGCGCAGAGUAUCAGGAGGAACACCGAUGGCGAAGGCAGGUCUCUGGGCCACUACUGACGCUGACGAAGCGAAGCAUGGGGAGCGAACAGG
rnacentral:rRNA from 1 species